rnacentral:rRNA from 1 species
GAUAGCUAAUUGCACUACCUCGUAGUGUAAUAUCGACUAUGUUGAAUAAAAUUCUGGGUAAAAUUAUGAUAAUGACAUUAUUUACCUAUGUGUCUUGACCAAAUUACGUGCCAGCAGUCGCGGUAAUACGUAGAAGACUAGUGUUAUUCAUCUUUAAUAGGUUUAAAGGGUACCUAGACGGUAAAUCAAGCCCUUGCGCAGCAAGAUGGGACUAAUUUGCUAGAGUUACUUACAAGGAGGCUAUAAAGUACUAAUGGUGUAGAGAUGAAAUUUUGUAAUACCAUUUUCCAAAAGGAAAGUUAUGGCACUGAUAAAGGCGAAAGCAUCCUCUUAUGUGAUAACUGACGUUGAGGGACGAAGGCUUUGGAUCGCGAAUAGGAUUAGAUACCCUAGUAGUCAAAGCAGACAAUGAUGAGUGUCAUAGAUUAGAUAUUUAAGUUUAUUCUAUAAAUGAAAGUGUAAGCACUCCACCUCAAGAGUAAUUUGGCAACAUUGGAACUGAAAUCAUUAGACCGUUUCUGAAACCAGUAGUGAAGUAUGUUGUUUAAUUUGAUAAUCCGCAAAAAACCUUACCACAACUUGAAUAGAGAUAUAUAUCAUAUUUUUACAAGCGUUGCACGGCUGUCUACAGUUAAUGUCGUGAGACUUUGGUUAGAUCCAUUAAAUUAACGCAAGCCCUUACUUUAUUUUUAAAUAAAGUCGUUCCCCGCUAUAUUGGAUAUGAUAACAGGGACUAAGACAAGUCAUCAUGGCCUUAAUGUUGUGGG